UACGAAGGGGGCUAGCGUUGUUCGGAAUUACUGGGCGUAAAGCGCACGCAGGCGGAUUGAUAAGUCGGGGGUGAAAUCCCGGGGCUCAACCUCGGAAUUGCCUUCGAUACUGUUAGUCUUGAGUCCGGGAGAGGUGAGUGGAAUUCCUAGUGUAGAGGUGAAAUUCGUAGAUAUUAGGAAGAACACCAGUGGCGAAGGCGCUCACUGGCCCGGUACUGACGCUGAGGAGCGAAAGCCAGGGGAGCAAAGCGGG
rnacentral:rRNA from 1 species